rnacentral:rRNA from 1 species
GUUGUAUAGUCAAGUAAUUAAGUGCAUGUGGUGGAUGCCUUGGCAGUCAGAGGCGAUGAAAGACGUGAUAGCCUGCGAAAAGCUCCGGGGAGGCGGCAAAUAUCCUUUGAUCCGGAGAUGUCUGAAUGGGGGAACCCACCUACUUUAAGGUAGGUAUUGCAACAUGAAUACAUAGUGUUGCAAGGCGAACGAGGGGAAGUGAAACAUCUCAGUACCCUUAGGAAAAGAAAUCAAUUGAGAUUCCCUCAGUAGCGGCGAGCGAACGGGGAUCAGCCCAUUAAGUUAUGUGUGUUUUAGUGGAACGCUCUGGGAAGUGCGAACGUAGAGGGUGAUAUUCCCGUACACGAAAGGGCACACAUAAUGAUGACGAGUAGGGCGAGGCACGUGAAACCUUGUCUGAAUAUGGGGGGACCAUCCUCCAAGGCUAAAUACUCCUGACUGACCGAUAGUGAACCAGUACCGUGAGGGAAAGGCGAAAAGAACCCCUGUGAGGGGAGUGAAAUAGAUCCUGAAACCGCAUGCAUACAAGCAGUGGGAGCACCUUCGUGGUGUGACUGCGUACCUUUUGUAUAAUGGGUCAGCGACUUAUAUUCAGUAGCANAGGUUAACCGUAUAGGGGAGCCGUAGAGAAAUCGAGUCUUAAUAGGGCGUUUAGUUGCUGGGUAUAGACCCGAAACCAGGCGAUCUAUCCAUGAGCAGGUUGAAGGUUGGGUAACACUAACUGGAGGACCGAACCCACUGUCGUUGAAAAGCCAGGGGAUGACUUGUGGAUAGGGGUGAAAGGCUAAUCAAGCCUGGUGAUAGCUGGUUCUCCCCGAAAGCUAUUUAGGUAGCGCCUCGGACGAAUACCAUAGGGGGUAGAGCACUGUUUCGGCUAGGGGGUCAUCCCGACUUACCAAACCGAUGCAAACUCCGAAUACCUAUGAGUACUAUCCGGGAGACAGACUGCGGGUGCUAACGUCCGUAGUCAAGAGGAAAACAAUCCAGACCGCCAGCUAAGGCCCCAAAAUCAUAGUUAAGUGGGAAACGAUGUGGGAAGGCAUAGACAGCUAGGAGGUUGGCUUANNNNNNNNNNNNNNNNNNNNGAAGCAGCCACCCUUUAAAGAAAGCGUAAUAGCUCACUAGUCGAGUCGGCCUGCGCGGAAGAUGUAACGGGGCUAAAACUAUGUGCCGAAGCUGCGGAUGUAUACUUUGUAUACGUGGUAGGGGAGCGUUCUGUAAGCCGAUGAAGGUGUGUUGAGAAGCNNNNNNNNNNNNNNNNNNAUGCUGGAGGUAUCAGAAGUGCGAAUGCUGACGUGAGUAACGACAAAACGGGUGAAAAACCCGUUCGCCGAAAGACCAAGGGUUCCAGUCCAACGUUAAUCGGGGCUGGGUGAGUCGACCCCUAAGGCGAGGCCGAAAGGCGUAGUCGAUGGGAAAAUGGUUAAUAUUCCAUUACUUCUGUGUAAUGCGAUGAGAGGACGGAGAAGGCUAAAUCAGCCUGGCGUUGGUUGUCCAGGUGAAAGGAUGUAGGCAUGUAUCUUAGGCAAAUCCGGGGUACUCUAUGCUGAGAUCUGAUAGCAAGCUGUACUUGUACAGCGAAGUGGUUGAUGCCAUGCUUCCAGGAAAAGUCUCUAAGCUUCAGUUACACAGGAAUCGUACCCGAAACCGACACAGGUGGUCAGGUCGAGUAGACCAAGGCGCUUGAGAGAACUCUGCUGAAGGAACUAGGCAAAAUGGUACCGUAACUUCGGGAGAAGGUACGCUGUUGUUGGUGAUGGAACUCGCUUCCUGAGCUGACGACAGCCGCAGAAACCAGGCCGCUGCAACUGUUUAUUAAAAACAUAGCACUCUGCAAACACGAAAGUGGACGUAUAGGGUGUGAUGCCUGCCCGGUGCUGGAAGGUUAAUUGAUGGGGUUAGCGUAAGCGAAGCUCUUGAUCGAAGCCCCAGUAAACGGCGGCCGUAACUAUAACGGUCCUAAGGUAGCGAAAUUCCUUGUCGGGUAAGUUCCGACCUGCACGAAUGGCAUAAUGAUGGCGGCGCUGUCUCCAGCAGAGGCUCAGUGAAAUCGAAAUCGCUGUGAAGAUGCAGUGUACCCGCGGCUAGACGGAAAGACCCCGUGAACCUUUACUGCAGCUUGACACUGAACUUUGACCUUACUUGUGUAGGAUAGGUGGGAGGCUUUGAAGCUGGAACGCUAGUUCCAGUGGAGCCGUCCUUGAAAUACCACCCUGGUAAUGUUGAGGUUCUAACUCUGUCCCGUGAUCCGGGACGAGGACCGUGUCUGGUGGGUAGUUUGACUGGGGCGGUCUCCUCCUAAAGAGUAACGGAGGAGUACGAAGGUGCGCUCAGCGUGGUCGGAAAUCACGCGUAGAGUAUAAAGGCAAAAGCGCGCUUAACUGCGAGACCCACAAGUCGAGCAGGUACGAAAGUAGGUCUUAGUGAUCCGGUGGUUCUGUAUGGAAGGGCCAUCGCUCAACGGAUAAAAGGUACUCUGGGGAUAACAGGCUGAUACCGCCCAAGAGUUCAUAUCGACGGCGGUGUUUGGCACCUCGAUGUCGGCUCAUCUCAUCCUGGGGCUGAAGCAGGUCCCAAGGGUAUGGCUGUUCGCCAUUUAAAGAGGUACGCGAGCUGGGUUUAGAACGUCGUGAGACAGUUCGGUCCCUAUCUACCGUGGGCGCUGGAAAUUUGAGAGGAUCUGCUCCUAGUACGAGAGGACCAGAGUGGACGAACCUCUGGUGUACCGGUUGUGACGCCAGUCGCAUCGCCGGGUAGCUAUGUUCGGAAGGGAUAACCGCUGAAAGCAUCUAAGCGGGAAGCCUACCUCAAGAUAAGAUUUCCCUAGGACUUUAUGUCCUCUAAAGAGCCGUUCGAGACUAGGACGUUGAUAGGUUGGAUGUGGAAGCAUAGUGAUAUGUGAAGCUGACCAAUACUAAUUGCUCGUGAGGCUUGACUAUACAACACCCAAGCAGUUG